CUCCGUGCCUCUCUUCUGUUGCUGUCAGUCAAGAAGCUCAGGAGCAUGUUGAAGGGUUUGUGUGACACUUCCCCUCUACUCGACUCAAAACAGGGAUCAUAACUUUUCCGACCCUUGCAUCUUUGUAAAGAGAAACUCAGAUUCAGUUUGGACCAAGAUUUCAUCCCAGUUCUCAGAAUUCAGAAGUUAGGCCUGGAGCGAAUAAAGAAAAACAAUCAGAAUGUCUUAUGAGCGGAUUCUGUCCAUUGAAAAUUUGAACGAUGUUCCAAAUCCAUGGAAGGGAUUUACAAUGAACCGCUGUUUGGUGGUGGCGCUGGUCGUGCUUUUGGUGAGCUCAGGAGUAAAUGAAGUUCAUGAAGCUCUGGAUUAUUUUGUGGAGGAGACGGGUAUUGGGUAUCUAGUUGACUGUGUCCAAACAGGUACUCUACCUCAGUUUUCCAUAUGGGACAGCGUCACAAGUUGGUGGGGAUCCGAAGAAGUCGGAGCAAUACGAAGAAGAAAAAAGCCAAUAGGGAAGAAAGCAAUCUUGAAACCGAAAGCUAACGAGUGAAACACAGAUAUGAAGCUAAGUUACACAUUUCUUUAACUGACUCAUCAGACUCCAGAAUAAAUGACAAAAAACACAAA